rnacentral:miRNA from 1 species
UCAUAAAUAAUCUGUAUUUCUUUA